rnacentral:rRNA from 1 species
CAAUAGCGUAUAUUAAAGUUGUUGCGGUUAAAAAGCUCGUAGUUGGAUUUCUGCUGAGAACGACCGGUCCGCCCUUUGGGUGUGUAUCUGGCUCUUUCUUGGCAUCUUCUUGGUGAACGUUGCUGCACUUGACUGUGUGGAGCGCUACCCAGGACUUUUACUUUGAGGAAAUUAGAGUGUUUCAAGCAGGCAUACGCCUUGAAUACAUUAGCAUGGAAUAAUAAGAUAGGACCUCGGUUCUAUUUUGUUGGUUUCUAGAGCUGAGGUAAUGAUUAAUAGGGAUAGUUGGGGGCAUUUGUAUUUCGUCGCUAGAGGUGAAAUUCUUAGAUUGACGAAAGACAAACUGCUGCGAAAGCGUCUGCCAAGGAUGUUUUCAUUGA